rnacentral:rRNA from 1 species
GACGAACGCUGGCGGCGUGCUUAACACAUGCAAGUCGAACGGAAAGGCCCUGCUUUUGUGGGGUGCUCGAGUGGCGAACGGGUGAGUAACACGUGAGUAACCUGCCCUUGACUUUGGGAUAACUUCAGGAAACUGGGGCUAAUACCGGAUAGGAGCUCCUGCUGCAUGGUGGGGGUUGGAAAGUUUCGGCGGUUGGGGAUGGACUCGCGGCUUAUCAGCUUGUUGGUGGGGUAGUGGCUUACCAAGGCUUUGACGGGUAGCCGGCCUGAGGGGGUGACCGGCCACAUUGGGACUGAGAUACGGCCCAGACUCCUACGGGAGGCAGCAGUGGAGAAUAUUGCACAAUGGGCGGAAGCCUGAUGCAGCAACGCCGCGUGCGGGAUGACGGCCUUCGGGUUGUGAACCGCUUUCGCCUGUGACGAAGCGUGAGUGACGGUAAUGGGUAAAGAAGCACCGGCUAACUACGUG